UCAGCUGUCCUGCUUCUCCUGGCUGCUUUCCUGAGGCCUGAGUUUGAUGAGUCCAAAUGGAGGUUUGCAAGGGAUGGAGAGUAUUUUCUCUUUCAUUUGGAGAAAAGAAUGUAUCAGGGACAUUCAUGGCAUCUGUAGACCUAUGCUCUCAUGUUGAUCAAAUGGAGCAGCCCAAGGUGAAGAACCAAAAGCUCAACUAGCUUAACACAUCUGAGUGCAAGGAAUCAGAACACUGGCAUUUCAUCCCAGGGGCUUUUUCAUAACAAAGUACCUCACGCAUCUUGUUGACUGGCCUCUUGGGAGCUGCCCCAGGAAUUUUGGGUUGACACUGCCCAACUUCUCCCAUGCAUGAUGGGUGACUUCAUGCUUCUGCAUUAGACACCUUCAUCUGCUCCACCCUAUAAAGCCUUCUGCCUCCUCUUCCUCUGGAGUCAACAUUGGGAGAACACUGUCAGCCAGCUGCGGUGGUACUUGGCUUCCCACGAAACCUUCCAGACUCUUCCUGUGGUGCCCUUGUCCUGUAUGAUGUGCAGAGGAGACUCUGGAUUCUGUUGUCUUUCUCAGAAGAGUGUUGAAUUUCUAUUUCCUGCAGGCACUCCAAACUCUAAUCUCGGAGACCUCAGCCCAUUAAGGUCACUGCUUUCUGUUCUGGCUCUAUCACCCAUGCACUGUACAUACUAGGGAGUUUCACAGGGGAAAAGUCGAUUCCAUAAUUGUUCCUACAGGAGCAUUAAUCCAAUGCAAGCUUCUCUACUAUGAAUGGAAGUCUAAAGUCCAGAAUAUAUUCUACAUCAUCAGCCACCACAAAAAAUUUACAGGACAUUAAACUCACAUUAAAGAUUCCCCAAACUUGCUAUUAGCUACAUUAAGUUCUCCAUAGAACUAAGGCAUCCUGAAGGAACCAUGUGCCCCAGUAGUAACUAAAGGCCCGGGGAAAGUGACCAGUCACUUGAAUGGGCUGGCAAGAUUUGAUAAAGGGCUGGGGUAAUCUAAUUGCAUACUAACUUAUAUGGAUAAACCAGGGACUGGAUGAAGAGGGUCCUCAAUACAGCAGAGCUUAUAGGAAGAGAUGAUGCAGCAUUCCACAGCCCUCAACUACAAAUAUUUCAAGGUCAAGGAACCCAAAAAAGCAUCUGUGGCAGUUCUGAUGUCUCUGACAGGUGAUUCCCAAAGGCUCAGAGGCAAGAAUGUGUUUUAGGGGACAAAUGAUAUUGGAAACCACUUACUGCCAAGGGAGUGAAAUCAUGUUCUACUUCUUUUGGAGUCCGGAGGCUCUCUUAUAUGUUUCCCUUAAGUGUCAAAUUUUGACAUCUUACAUGAAGUUGGCAAAUUGAAAUUCACAGCAAUAGAAGGUAGGUGUUUAAUAAGUGCCUUUCAAGUCCAGACAAAUUUGUGAAGUUUCAGAAACAGGAAAGAAAGGUAGGCAGCCAAACAAACCUCUGGCUAAAUCUGGCCAUUACAUAAAGAACAUAAACAUAUUAAUGUUUAAUUUUUUUAAAAGGAAGAAAAGGAAAAUUAUGCUAAAUUCCUGAAUGAGUCAAGAACAAAAUAAUAAAUACUACAAUUUCUGUUCAAAGUAAAGUGGAAAGGCAAACAUGAAGGAGGAGGGAGAGAUCUACUUGUUCUUGCCCUAGAACUCCAUCAUAUUCCCUGUUACAAGCCAAUGACUUUUUGCUCUCCCCCACUACCCCAAACUUAGGAUUCUGUGUCAUUGCUGGCUAGCUCGUGUCUUUUCAAGUGCUUUUAUGUCAUUGUAGGAUUGCUGGAAUUGAAAACAUUCAAAGAAAACCUUAAAGAAAUCAACAUCAUGAUUUUGAGAACAAAAAAAAUGCAGAGGUAACAAACUGUGAUGCAUUAACCUCGGUCAUCAUGCAUGUCACAGAAGCUGGAUGCAAAUUUAUGUAUUUACUGUCAUAAACCAGGACAAAUCUUGAUAUCACUUGAGAAAAGGCCAGUCAGAGAAAAUGAAGACCCCUUUGCCAUCCCCACCAUCCAAAGACUGGUUUAACUUGUACUUGAAGAUAUUGGCAUACUGAGCUGCACGGACAGUGAGGUCAUGCUGUGGGUCGGUAAGACGACUUAGCACUUUCAGAUGAUGGAAAAGUUUGUGUUAUCACUUCCUUCGAUCUUUCCUCACAUAAACAUUGAAUUUCAGGGCAUUUCAUAUAGACCUAAGGAGAAAAAUCUAUUAAAAAUAAUCUUUUUAAAACGACCCUUUUAAUGUUUGAAAUAUAUGGUUUGUUGUUGUUUUUGGUGAGAGAUGCAAAUAACUUUAUUCUUCUAUGAAAGACUCCAAUGUUUAAGUUUCUUGCCAU